rnacentral:rRNA from 1 species
AACAGAUUUACUUCGGUAAUGACGUUAGGAAAGCGAGCGGCGGAUGGGUGAGUAACACGUGGGGAACCUGCCCCAUAGUCUGGGGUACCACUUGGAAACAGGUGCUAAUACCGGAUAAGAAAGCAGAUCGCAUGAUCAGCUUUUAAAAGGCGGCGUAAGCUGUCGCUAUGGGAUGGCCCCGCGGUGCAUUAGCUAGUUGGUAAGGUAAAGGCUUACCAAGGCGAUGAUGCAUAGCCGAGUUGAGAGACUGAUCGGCCACAUUGGGACUGAGACACGGCCCAAACUCCUACGGGAGGCAGCAGUAGGGAAUCUUUCACAAUGGACGCAAGUCUGAUGGAGCAACGCCGCGUGAGUGAAGAAGGUUUUCGGAUCGUAAAGCUCUGUUGUUGGUGAA